rnacentral:sRNA from 1 species
AGCUGAUGCACAUGGCGGCUUCUCCUCCCAGUGCCGCCGCAGCAGCUGUUCCCCUCUGGAGGUUUUAUGACCUUCACACUUCAUGGGCCGCGGUUUUCCGUAGGCCCAUUUUU